rnacentral:rRNA from 1 species
AUACGGAGGGUGCAAGCGUUAAUCGGAAUUACUGGGCGUAAAGCGUGCGCAGGCGGUUUGUUAAGUCAGAUGUGAAAGCCCCGGGCUCAACCUGGGAACUGCAUUUGAAACUGGCAAACUAGAGUGUGGUAGAGGGAGGUGGAAUUCCUCAUGUAGCGGUGAAAUGCGUAGAUAUGAGGAGGAACACCAGUGGCGAAGGCGACUUCCUGGACCAACACUGACGCUCAUGUACGAAAGCGUGGGUAGCAAACAGGAUUAGAAACCCGAGUAGUCC